CGACCUGGAGCAAAUCUCAAAAAUAACGUCUCAGUUCGGACUGUAGUCUGCAACCCGACUACACGAAGCUGGAAUCGCUAGUAAUCGCGAAUCAGAAUGUCGCGGUGAAUACGUUCCCGGGUCUUGUACACACCGCCCGUCACACCAUGGGAGUUGGUAAUGCCCGAAGUCAGUGACCCAACCGCAAGGAGGGAGCUGCCGAAGGCAGGACUGAUAACUGGGGUGAAGUCGUAACAAGGUAUC
rnacentral:rRNA from 1 species